GUCUCCGUAGUUCAACUGGAUAGAGCGUAAGAUUCCGGUUCUUAAGAUAGGGGUUCGAGUCCUCUCGGAGACA
rnacentral:tRNA from 1 species